rnacentral:rRNA from 1 species
CAUGCCUUACACAUGCAAGUCGAACGGUAACAGGUCUUCGGAUGCUGACGAGUGGCGAACGGGUGAGUAAUACAUCGGAACGUGCCCGAUCGUGGGGGAUAACGAAGCGAAAGCUUUGCUAAUACCGCAUACGAUCUACGGAUGAAAGCAGGGGACCGCAAGGCCUUGCGCGAACGGAGCGGCCGAUGGCAGAUUAGGUAGUUGGUGGGAUAAAAGCUUACCAAGCCGACGAUCUGUAGCUGGUCUGAGAGGACGACCAGCCACACUGGGACUGAGACACGGCCCAGACUCCUACGGGAGGCAGCAGUGGGGAAUUUUGGACAAUGGGCGAAAGCCUGAUCCAGCCAUGCCGCGUGCAGGAUGAAGGCCUUCGGGUUGUAAACUGCUUUUGUACGGAACGAAAAGACUCUGGUUAAUACCUGGGGUCCAUGACGGUACCGUAAGAAUAAGCACCGGCUAA